rnacentral:snoRNA from 1 species
AAGACUAUACUUUCAGGGAUCAUUUCUAUAGUUUCUGACUUGAGAAAUGUGUUUCUAAAGAGUUUGGUCUCGCUAACCACGAUGAAGAGUCGUGAUAUUCCUUUCUGAGCAUGAAGCUGACAGAGUAAUGAUUCAUUUCAUAUACGGUCUGUCGUUGAUGAUUGUUCUGUACUUCAUCACAAGGUAUUGAGGAAGGCAAUAUAAUCUGAGUGGU